UGCAUACCCCCUCCGUCCGAAAAAGCUUGUCCCUCAAAUGGAUGUAUCUAUCACCAAGUUAGUGCUGGAUACAUCCAUUUGAGGGACAAGCUUUUUCAGACAGAGGGAGUACAUA
rnacentral:pre_miRNA from 1 species